CGUUGGCCGUCUCUGUUGCCGGGCUGCGUGGCGGGCCGUGGUGCUCCUCCGGAGGGAGGAGCAUUGCUGCCGGGAUGUGGUUGUCGCCGCUGUAGACGGCCGUGCCGAUGGAGGCCGCGGGUGCGGCCUCAACCAUCGCAUCCAGGGGGAAAAGGGAGGAGGAGAGUGGACGAGCGGCCGCCGCUUAGACCUUCCUCCGUCCGGAAUCGAGUCCGCUGAUCCGCGGCCGAUCUCAUUUAAGAGAGUGUGUUCGAGGCUUCCAAUUCUUGAAUCGAUGGAGGCUGGCGCUGCGUUCUUCCAUCGGUUCUUCUUUCUUUGUAGUUCACGAUUGAUCAAUUCUUCGUGAGAUUCGUGUGAGCGCAUAUACAUACAGGAGAAAAACAAUUCAUUGUUAGAUUAUUAAUUGAUGAUUGCAAGAAGACAAGAUCAAUCAAUCAAUCUCCCUGAUUAGUUUCUUUCCUUUUUGUACGAGGAACAUCUCGUCUUCGCCGUGAAUCGCGUGGUGGCCGAAACUCUAGUAGCCAACUUCUCCAGACUUCUCCAGUCAUCGUCUGCGGCAAUUGCAGAUCGCCGGAGUGGCCUCCUCUGGCCAUAGAGAGGCCUUGCCGUUUGCCGCCGCUGUCGUCGGCAGUCAUGUGGCGGAUUGAAGCGCCGGAGGGCGCCGCUUCGACGCGCCUACAGAGGAGGGCGUCGUCAACCAUGGGGUGCCUCAGCCGCCUGCAUCGCGCGCUGGUGCUGCGCCGCUGGAGCGCUGUCGAGGCCGAGGGUCCUCGUGUCCUUGGGGCCGGAGGGAGGGUCAGGGACGGUGGAGCCGUCGAGUUCUUGGCCUAAUUGCUCUCUGGAAGAGGCGUGCGUGAUAACGUGUUGGAGAGAAUCGAGAGAGAGGAGCGAAUGGAAAACAGAUAUAUGAAUGAACCGUUAUUCUAUUGAUUGAAGAUUGGGGUAUUUAUACCCAGUUUACAAGGCGGUUACAAAAGGAGGCAGUUGCCAAAAGUGGCACCGACAUAGCAGUGAUUAAUAGUUAAUUAACCUAAUUAAUUAAUUCCUAACACCUCGCACGCGACCUCCUUGUCUCCCUCACUCACGCCUCUUCUCCUCGGCCCCCCGCGCGCUGUCCAUCGGCGGACGAGGAAGGCUGGUGCCAGCAACGACCGCAGAGAGCUACGUCGGUCGGCAGUGGAGGUGCGGCUGCGGCUGCGGCCGAUGGGCAUAGCAGAGCGAAGCGGCGCGGCGGCCGAGCGCGAUCCGUGGACAUCGACCUUAGAGACCAAGCUGGGAGGAAGGAGGAGAAGAGGCUGGAACUGGGGGGACUCGGCGGAGGAGUAGAGGCCGCAGCGGUGGAUCGGAGUUUGUAUAGCGGGACGGCGGUGAGGAAGGCGAGCCGGAGGUGCCCUCGCUGCUGCCCCCACCACUUCGCGUCUGUACAGGUCGUUGCUGCCGCUGCUCUUCUUCCGUUAGGAAGAAAGGUCGAUAAAUGCAACAAGGGAUUAUCAAGUACAAGAAGAAGUGCGUGCAUGGGACGAGCAAGCUAAUUCCUGGAAGCGGACUUACUGCUAUGGUUGUGUUAAUGAUGACAGAGUGUUCCCAUCGUUGAAGCCAAACUGACAGAUGAGCCUGGUGUUGAUCCUUUUGCUCAAAGGAGGGAAGAGAAGAAGAGCAGCAUCGAUAAACAAGAAAUUAACAGACGUGGGAAUUUGAAGAACGGGCCAUCGUCGGAUUUUCUCCCAGGUGAGGGGAGGCGUUCAGGGGAUUGGCUACGAAGGCGCUGGCCACCGAGCGCCGAGCGGCAGCUAGCCUACAACGAAGAUCUGCACAAGGGCGCUACAAGAUCUGCAUGGACGUCCUAGAAUCCACCGGUCUGUAGUAACAUGAGUCCCACGCUCGGCCUCCUGCAAGGGCGACCUUUCGUACUCCCAAAAGCAGACCUGGUUCAAGAUCAGAGGCAACAAGUAAGCUCCUACUAUGUGUCUAUGUUAAUCUGUCAUCUCAGUAUAAUUCAUCCCCAUCCCACUACAUUUAGUUCAGUUCAGUUAAGUGAUUAGGCAUAAUGCGCGAAUGCAAGCAAGGUUGGGAGGAAUGGGUCGAUGGUGUCAUGCCUCGGCGCACGGGACCAGGUAAGGCAACUUGCACUUUGAUUUCCAAAGUGGUGGUUUGGACUUUGGACAGUACUAUAACCCGAUGGUCAUCUUCUCGAUCUACAUCAGUAUUCUGUAGAGGCUGUGAACAAGCUUGAGGGACCUGAAAGUUGAGUGAUGGUUUUCCUUUUUUUUCAAGUAUUUUAUAAUUUUUUAUUCUCCACUCUAAACAGUUCACUUCAAUAUCUCUUACACAAAAGCAACUCCCAAGGGCGUUCUGAAGCUUACGAAAGUGGAAGGCCUAAACAUCUAUCAUCUAAAGAUUCAUUUGCAGAUACUACUUUAGGGUUAUUUCGCCACUUCACUGAAAAUGAAACCAAACAUCUCUUCUUCUUUUCUUUGUUGAACAGAAGUACCGACACACAAAGUAUAUUCCAUAGAUCAAAGAAGAGUAAAUGUGUAUAUCGCACAAUUCAAAGGUUAAAAUAUUGUUCUGCUAAAUACCCCCAUCAUCUCAGUAGUUUGUGGGUCAUUACGAUCAGCAUUUACGAUUUGCAUCAAAGUUUUCUAUGCAUGCAAACAAAACUACUCUGAUCAAGUUGGUAUGGAGUUGGACACCCAGACUUUUUGCGCAUCUAAGUGUCGUGACAUUGAUUGUUUCAUCUAAUUCUCCAUGUGCCAAGUGAUGUAAAUACUGAAAGGAUUACCAUUUUAUUAUAUUAACAAAGACAAUCGUUUCCUGUAACUACUACAGUAUCUUAGACCGAUUCCAACUAGAUGGAACUGGCUCAAUUGUACAAGAAGUACAAGGACCAGGGUAUGAUCUAUCUGCAUAUGAUCAGUCCUUGAUUUUCAGUUAUGAUAUAUUAUGCUUACAAUUUGAUGCGACCACAGGUUUUGAGUUCCUUACUUUCCCAUGCAAUCAGUUUGGUGGGCAGGAACCUGGCAUUAAUGAGUAAAUUGUUCAGAUUUCUUGCACUCAUUUGAAGGCCGAGUAUCUGAUUUUUGACAAGAUAAAUGUGUGCUUGAUACUCCCUCCUCCUUUUUUCUUGGUGGUUCUCUGCUUCAAGCUGAAAGAAACGAUUGCAUUUGUGUACAAUGUACACUAUGACUGCUUCCAUGAACAAUUACUAUAAUUUGAUUGAGGAAACAUGAUCCAGCCUGUGUACUCUAUUUUUAUGCAGUCUGAGCGAUAUAAAAUCUGAAACCAAUGUUGGUUAUUAAAAAAUCGGACUUUAGUUGUACCAACUGACUGGGCGUGUCCGUGCUCCUGUGUUCUUGGGGCUACGAUAACCUCCUUGUGUGCCCCUCAGCAUUAAUGAGAUAAUGUUGGUCCAAUGCUUAUAAUUUAAUCAGUGGUUCCUACUGAAUUUUUAAAAGGUCUAUGCCUAAUUUGGUGUUGCUUAUUCAAUUAGCUUCACAUGUUGCAACUAAUCAUGUUUGAUGUGCUGCCAUGCUCUCAGUAUUAUCUUGUUCAGUGCUAUAAUUUUUUUUUGAGCUUUUGUUCAGUGCUAUAAUUGGGGCCAUGCUCUUAGUAUUGUGUUGUUUUUACGCACUCAACACCUACUGCAGGUGAUAGACUCCGUAAAAAAAUCUAAGGUUAAUAUUUAUGCUCAAGGAGAAAUGGAGAAAUCUACACAUCUUGGUGAUGCUGAGAUGUGUAGGCUUUCUAAUAUUGCUUAUUCCUGAUUGAUAUGUCAUCAAAUCAAGUAAAAACGAGUAUGCUUUGAUCCAUGCCACAUCCGUUGAAUGUAACCUCUUGGUACUUCCUACUUUUCAGUAGAUUUUUGAGGGGGGAGAUACAUGGUCUCAAUACUGCAUUCGGUCUAGAAGAAGCUGAUCUGUAUGAGAUGCGGCAGUGCCAGGGGACAGUUGCUUCUGCUAUUUUUGGUUCCAAAACUAUUACUUCAUCGACUCUUUCCUGAUGUGCGGUAUUCACUCUGGAUCGAUGGGAAACUUAAACUUGUGAAGGAUCCUUAUCAGUUGUUAGAGAGAUUCUUGUGGAGGAAAAAUGUGCGCUUCGCUAUUUCCAGGCAUUAUAGACUCUUUGAUGUCCUUGAGGAAGCUGAGGCCAACAAGGCUGGUGGGAAGUAUGAUAAUGCUUCAAUCGAUAACCAAAUAGAGUUCUACAAGAGAGAGGGUUUAACCCAUUAUUCAUCAGCUAAGUUCCUUAUUACAAGCGAUGUCCCCGAGGGCUGUGUAAUUAUAGGAGAGCACAUACCCAUCACCAAUCUAUUCACAUGCCUUUGGUUCAAUGAAGUUGAUCGUUCCACCUCAAGAGAUCAGCUAAGCUUUAGCGCAGCGAGGGAUAAAAUAAGAUCAAGAGUUCUUUUUGACAACUAAAUAAGAUCAGGAGUUAAUUGGACUGUAGACAUGUUCCUGGAUUGUGGAAGGCGUGAUUUUGUUGUUCAGGUACUUUCGAGUUAAUGCUUUGUGCGGCACGUCAUUCCAUUUGCAACCUAUAAGUACUACUGCAUCUUGGUACCGAGUGCAAACUUGUGAAAUUACACAAAAAAUCCCGCAUAACGAUGGAUCUUCGCAUCGUCAUAGGGAGCUGUCUGAAAACAACAUCAGUGGACAGAUGAUUUUUUGGAAAGAACAAUGCCAGGAUCUUUGACAGAAUAGAAUUUUACUGGAGUUUGAGGCUAUAUUAUUGAUGAGGUAUCCUGGAGAGCUGCAAGCUGCCUUUCUUGUUUUGAAUCAUGUUCCUGUUGUUUUCUCCCUGGUGAGAGUGUAUUAUGUGGGUAGUGUAAUCAUCAUGAUCUCUGAGGCUAUGUAUAGAGUUGCAUCAUUGUUUUCUUGAAAAUUGACCCUCUAAAUUCAUGUUCUCUUAUAACUUAUCCUGUAAAAUCUUCUCUGUAUUUUAAUGAAGUUUGACGUCACGCCAUUGGAGAUAAUAGCAAGUGGAACAUUACAAGCCU